rnacentral:lncRNA from 1 species
GAGCGGUGCCUCGGGGGUCUGGACACACCUGGGACAUGAGUCUGGGGGCGCUGCGGGACCGCGCCUCCCCUCUGCUCCCUGCAGCUGGCGGCCUUCGCGGGCCGAGGAAUUUUGAGGGCUUCCAGGUCUGAAGCUGUCUCCCGGCGGCCACGGAGUGUUCUCAUGUGGACUGGGCGGAGGAAGAACUCCGGUCCAGUGGAGUCCCUGGUGAGGUCGGAGCAUGCGACCUGUCCUCCCUCCCCAGGUCACCUCGCAGGAUUGAGGACAGUGCGGCCAGAUCGAGGGUGGAGUCUGCAGGAUUUUGAAACUGCAGCCCCUGGCAUGGCGCCCUAACAGAGCCUCUGCUCCUUGCCUGGUGACGACAACAGGAAGAAGGCCAACAACCCCAAACACUGCAGCUGCGUCAUAGAUCAGAUCUUCACUGGUGGGCUGCAGUUGGAUGUCACCUGCCAAGUCUGCCAUGUCUCCACUACCAUAGACCCCUUCUGGGACAUCAGCUUGGAUCUGCCCAGCUGUUCCACCCCAUUCUGGCCCCUGAGCCCAGGGAGCAAGGGCAGCAUGGCGAACAAGGAAAGCCACGUGUCUGGGAAUCACCACAAUCAUGGACUGCCUCGAAGAACGAAGGCCCUCAGCAUUCAGAUCCAGUCCAGGAGUUGGCAAGCUCUUUGUCUAAAGGCCCAGACUGUGAAGAUACCAGGCUCCACGGGCCACAUGCGAUCACACAAUCUCUGUUGCAUGUUCUUUGUUUCAUUUUACAACUCUUUAAAUGUGGAAAGCACCCAUUCCUAGCUCACUGCCUGGAAUGCGUGACUCCUGAUCUAGGCAAAAGACUGUCUUCUGUCUGGUGAAAGAAACAAAUUGUUUAUUUAUUCUGCUACGGGUCGUGGAUCUUUGCUUGUCUAUGCUUUGCUGGGUUUGCUGUGAAAUUACUUUUUGUACCCUUGGUGUUAUCACGGAACAAUUCCAUCAUUUGAAGCCUUGACUGGAACCCUGUAAAAGAGGACUUGUAUGGGUUAUCAUUGUUAUGGAAUCUGUAAUUCUAGAUGUAGCUAAAAGGCAAUUCCAUAAAAUACAAUGAGAUACACAGACACAUGUUAUUGAAGGAAGCCCCUGAAGUCUCCAGUGACAUUUCUGUUCUUCUUUCCUCUUCUCUGCCUUUUUCCUGUUUCUGCAGUGAUUUGAACACUCAGCCAAGCUGUGACGGAAGAUCGCCACAUACAUGUUCUUUCCCCUGGAGCUGGACAUGGCCCCUUUCAUGGCCUCCAGGUCUAGGUGGGGGUGUUGGCCUGUUCUGUGUCUGGAGGGGCUGUGGUCAGGACAGGAACCCCGCUCGGAGCUCCUGUGAUAAGAUAACUGUUGAUAUUAAUAUAAACCCCACCUUCCAAAAACCUAUUUAUCCUGAUCUUAAGAUAAGACACACUUUAAUGAGUUGUUUUUGCCAGAUAUACUGAUUUUGCUUUGAAUGUUUCUCUAACAAUUUUUGAUCCACUUUCAAACUGGCAAAGUCAGGUGGGAUCACAGCGAGAAGUCAGCACUUUAAUUGGUGGAACAGGUGUUGAAGUACAGAUAGACAUCGUUGCUUUUGCAGUUGUAGAUUGCAUUUUCCUUUUCAGAUCUGUAAUAUCGUGGGGCCCUUGGAAUUUAAGCCUCCAGAAUAUCAUGCUGCUCACUAAUGUGUGAGACACAUAUGAGUUUCCUACAGAUCUGUGACAAACGACCAAAAACUUGGAAGCUUAGAACCACAGAAAUUAAUUUUCUCACAGUUCUAGAGGUCGGAAAUCUGAAAUCAAGGGGUUGGCAGGGCCCCACUUCCUACAAAGGGUCUAGGGGGAUUCCAUUCCUCCCUAGACCCUUUGUCUGACCCUAGACAGCCUCCAGCUGCCGGUGGUUCCAUAUGUAACUUCUGUGGCCAUGUCCCUUCCCUGACUUCCUGGUCACACGGCCGGCUCCUCUGAGUGUGUGUCCAAUCUCCCUCUGCUGUCAGAAACAGUGGUCAUUGGAUUUGGGGCCCAGGCAGAUCAUUCCAGGAGUAUCUCAUCUCGACAUCCUUACCUUGAUUCCAGCUGCAAAGACUUUUCACAAAUGAGGUCCCAGUCUCAGGUUCUGAGGGUUGAGACGUGGAUGUUAUGAUUUGGAGGAUGUUGUUUUUCAGAGGGCCACCGUCCCAGUGCCAGCACUGUGGAAAGCAUGUUGCCUUUGGUUAGUUAUCGGCCUCUUCCUGGUGUCCUUUCUCAUGGCUGUCCCACCUGUCUUGUGGCACACAGAUGACCUCUUGAAUAAAACAAGAUCACCAGAGUC